GCCCUUGUAGCUCAGUGGUAGAGCACUGGUCUCGUAAACCAGGGGUCGAGGGUUCGACUCCCUCCGGGGGCU